AGUGGCGGACGGGUGAGUAACGCGUGAGAAUCUGCCUUGGGGUCGGGGACAACCACUGGAAACGGUGGCUAAUACCGGAUAAGCCGAUUGGUGAAAGAUUUAUUGCCCGAAGAGGAGCUCGCGUCUGAUUAGCUAGUUGGUGAGGUAAGAGCUCACCAAGGCAGCGAUCAGUAGCUGGUCUGAGAGGACGAUCAGCCACACUGGGACUGAGACACGGCCCAGACUCCUACGGGAGGCAGCAGUGGGGAAUUUUCCGCAAUGGGCGAAAGCCUGACGGAGCAAGACCGCGUGAGGGAGGAAGGCUCUUGGGUUGUAAACCUCUUUUCUCAGGGAAGAAGAUCUGACGGUACCUGAGGAAUCAGCCUCGGCUAACUCCGUGCCAGCAGCCUCGGUAAUACGGAGGAGGCAAGCGUUAUCCGGAAUUAUUGGGCGUAAAGCGUCCGCAGGUGGCGAUUCAAGUCUGCUGUCAAAGCACGGGGCUUAACUCCGUAAAGGCAGUGGAAACUGAAUAGCUAGAGUGCCGUAGGGGUAGAGGGAAUUCCCGGUGUAGCGGUGAAAUGCGUAGAGAUCGGGAAGAACAUCGGUGGCGAAAGCGCUCUACUGGACGGCAACUGACACUCAGGGACGAAAGCUAGGGGAGCGAAUGGGAUUAGAUACCCC
rnacentral:rRNA from 1 species